CGGACGUAUGCUAUAAAUUGAUAUGUACGAAUCAAAUUUCGCAUGGGCAAGCAAUAAAAUGGAAUACAGUGCACCCUGCUGCAAUGAUUCAUUACAUGGGGGAACAAUUUUGAAACUCGCAAACUCACGCGUGUGUGUUAAAGCGCCUCGGUUUGAAAACUGUUAUUUUGACGCGGGUAGUUACAUACCUCGCCUUCGGCUCGGAUAUGCAAACUCUACCCUAGUCAAAAUAACAGUUUUCAAACCUUGGCGCUUAAACACUCACUUGUGAG